CGUUAUCNGGAAUUACUUGGGCGUAAAGCGUUCGUAGGCGGUUAUUUAANGUUAGAUGUGAAAGCCCCGGGCUUAACCUGGGAACUGCAUUUAAAACUGGAUAACUCGAGUUUAGGAGAGGGAAGUGGAAUUUCAGGUGUAGCAGUGAAAUGCGUAGAGAUCUGAAGGAACACCAGUGGCGAAGGCGACUUCCUGGACUAAAACUGACGCUGAGGAACGAAAGCGUGGGUAGCAAACGGGAUUAGAUACCCCGGGUAGUCCACGCCGUAAACGAUGUCAACUAGCCGUUGGGCCUAUAUACAGGUUUAGUGGCGGAGCUAACGUAUUAAGUUGACCGCCUGGGGAGUACGGCCGCAAGGUUAAAACUCAAAUGAAUUGACGGGGGCCCGCACAAGCGGUGGAGCAUGUGGUUUAAUUCGAUGCAACGCGAAGAACCUUACCUACCCUUGACAUCCAGAGAAUCUGUUAGAGAUAGUAGAGUGCCUUCGGGAACUCUGAGACAGGUGCUGCAUGGCUGUCGUCAGCUCGUGUCGUGAGAUGUUGGGUUAAGUCCCGUAACGAGCGCAACCCUUAUCCUUAGUUGCCAGCACAUUAUGGUGGGAACUCUAAGGAGACUGCCGGUGAUAA
rnacentral:rRNA from 1 species